rnacentral:rRNA from 1 species
AACGAACGCUGGCGGCAGGCUUAACACAUGCAAGUCGAACGGAUGUAGCAAUACAUUAGUGGCGCACGGGUGCGUAACGCGUAUGCAACCUACCUUCAUCAGGGGGAUAACUACUCGAAAGGGUGGCUAACACCGCAUAAUACUACUGAAUGGCAUCAUUUGGUAUUUAAAUCUGAGGAGGAUGAAGAUGGGCAUGCGUCUGAUUAGCUAGUUGGUGUGGUAACGGCGCACCAAGGCGACGAGCAGUAGGGGAACUGAGAGGUUGGUCCCCCACACUGGCACUGAGAUACGGGCCAGACUCCUACGGGAGGCAGCAGUAGGGAAUAUUGGUCAAUGGUGGGAACACUGAACCAGCCAUUCCGCGUGCAGGAAGAAGGGUCUCUGACUUGUAAACUGCUUUAGCAAGGGAAGAAAAAGCUCAUGCGUGAGAAAUUGACGGUACCUUGAGAAUAAGCACCGGCUAACUACGUGCCAGCCGCCGCAGUAAAAC